GGAAGGAUCAUUACUCGAAUAGCACAUCCGAGGGGUGAGAUGAUCGGUCGAAGUUUGGUAGAUCGUACGGAUUGUCGCUGGCCUUUGGCAUCGAAGGCUUGUGCACGUUCCGAGCUCUCCUUAGUCCUCGAUCGCUCUUCCUUUGGAAGACCUUUCUCUUACCUGUGCACCUUAUUGUAUGUCCCGCAAGGGAUCUAUGUCUUUAUCUACCCCCAAACGUAUGUCUCAUAAUGUCAUUAAUGCGUCGAUCGGCCUGGCUAACGCCUUGUCGGCGACGGUUAAGAAUCAUACAACUUUCAGCAACGGAUCUCUUGGCUCUCGCAUCGAUGAAGAACGCAACGAAUUGCGAUACGUAAUGUGAAUUGCACAUUUUCAGUGAAUCAUCGAAUCUUUGAAUGCACCUUGCGCUCCUUGGUAUUCCGAGGAGCAUGCCUGUUUGAGUGUCAUCGAAUUCUCAACCAUCCCUUGAUUGAUUUCGAGGGAUGGCUUG
rnacentral:misc_RNA from 1 species